CCUACGGGUGGCAGCAGUGGGGAAUAUUGCACAAUGGGGGAAACCCUGAUGCAGCGACGCCGCGGGAGUGAAGAAGUAAUUCGUUAUGGAAAGCUCUAUCAGCAGGGAAGAAAAUGACGGUACCUGAGUAAGAAGCCCCGGCUAACUUCGUGCCAGCAGCCGCGGUAAUACGUAGCGGGCAAGCGUUAUCCGCAUUUACUGGGUGGAAAGGGAGCGGAGACGGCAGUGCAAGUCUGGAGUGAAAGGCGGGGGCACAACCCCCGGACUGCUCUGGAAACUGUACGGCUGGAGUGCAGGAGAGGUAAGUGGAAUUCCUAGUGUAGCGGUGAAAUGCGUAGAUAUUAGGAGGAACACGAGUGGCGAAGGCGGCUUACUGGACUGUAACUGACGUUGAGGCUCGAAAGCGUGGGGAGCAAACAGGAUUAGAUACCCGAGUAGUC
rnacentral:rRNA from 1 species